UGUUGGGGGGGACACGUCGCCCCUGUCCCCGCCGGGAUCUCCACCUAUGGUCAUGCCCUUGAGGUCUGAAGUUGGGCAUAUAAGCCUGAAGCAGGACGCUUGAGGACACAUUCAAGCUGAGAAGAAAGAUGGAGAUGAGAUCAGUGAUUCUUCUGCUCUGCAGCUCUGCUGCUGUUCAAGGUUACUGGACCACUGAAGUACCAACUGUUUCAGAUUUGAGCUCUGAAGGAGUGCUUCCUACUAAAACUCCUGCUCCAAAAAAUCUAG